rnacentral:rRNA from 1 species
UAAAGUAGCAAUACUUUGGUGGCGACCGGCGCACGGGUGAGUAACGCGUAUGCAACCUCCUUUUAAGAGGGGAAUAACCCGGCGAAAGUCGGACUAAUACUUCAUAAAACAGGGACACCGCAUGGUGAUAUUUGUUAAAGAACUUCGCUGAUAGAUGGGCAUGCGUUCCAUUAGGUAGUUGGUGAGGUAACGGCUCACCAAGCCGACGAUGGAUAGGGGAACUGAGAGGUUGGUCCCCCACACUGGUACUGAGACACGGACCAGACUCCUACGGGAGGCAGCAGUGAGGAAUAUUGGUCAAUGGGCGAGAGCCUGAACCAGCCAAGUCGCGUGAAGGAAGAAGGAUCUAUGGUUCGUAAACUUCUUUUGCAGGGGAAUAAAGUGCAGGACGUGUCCUGUUUUGUAUGUACCCUGAGAAUAAGGAUCGGCUAACUCCGUGCCAGCAGCCGCGGUAAUACGGAGGAUCCGAGCGUUAUCCGGAUUUAUUGGGUUUAAAGGGUGCGUAGGUGGUUUGAUAAGUCAGCGGUGAAAGUUUGCAGCUUAACUGUAAAAAUGCCGUUGAAACUGUCGGACUUGAGUGUAAAUGAGGUAGGCGGAAUGCGUGGUGUAGCGGUGAAAUGCUUAGAUAUCACGAAGAACUCCGAUUG